ACCUAAUCAAGAUAACCCACCCACCAGCACAUCCCAGAUGCCCACAGUUCAGGUGAUUCUAGAGCUAAAGUGACAAUGGAGACUAACAACGGACACAAUUCUACAGCAUGUUUAUCCCAAGACAACAGUGCUCUGUAUUACCCCACUAUAAACAAAGCAAGCAUCACUGAGGAUGGAGGUCUAACAGUCUCACUCAUGGAAAAUGCAAUUCAACGGUCUUUUACCAGGACAACCAGAAAGUCUGAAAUGAAACAAAUGUUCUCUGAACUUAAUCAAAACCUUACACAUAACUAAACCUGGCAAGUUUCAGGAGAUGCAUUUACUUAACUUCCUGUGGCUUUAUCACAUCUUACCAGUAUUCAUAAGUAUCAUGCUACCAGUUACUAUUCUGCCAUUAUUUUAAAGGCAUCGUUUUAAAAAUAAACAUUAUUCAAUUCUAA